GGCAUUUAUUUGAUAUUUAUUCAGCCUAUUGAACAAUGGAUCACAAUUUGCAUGAGCUCAGGAAUAUCCCUGAACACAAGAUUUGCUUUGAGUGAAUUCUCCAGUCUACAGGCCUUUUUCUCACAGUAUAUGACAUAAAGCCUCAAUAGUUGUCAACCACCUUCUUCAAGACUGUUGGUGCUGAGCCUUGAAACAGAAGACAAAUAAU
rnacentral:lncRNA from 1 species